GGACAGAUGGCCGAGUUUGGUCGAAGGCAGCAGGCUGUUAACCUGCCGAGGCGAAAGCCCCACCGUUGGUUCAAAUCCAACUCUGUCCGCCA
rnacentral:tRNA from 1 species